rnacentral:rRNA from 1 species
UUAAGCGACUAAGCGUACACGGUGGAUGCCCUGGCAGUCAGAGGCGAUGAAGGACGUGCUAAUCUGCGAAAAGCGCCGGCGAGGUGAUAUGAACCUUUGACCCGGCGAUGUCCGAAUGGGGAAACCCAGUGUGAUUCGUCACACUAUCGUUAACUGAAUACAUAGGUUAACGAGGCGAACCGGGGGAACUGAAACAUCUAAGUACCCCGAGGAAAAGAAAUCAACCGAGAUUCCCCCAGUAGCGGCGAGCGAACGGGGAGCAGCCCAGAGUCUGAAUCAGCUUGUGUGUUAGUGGAAGCGUCUGGAAAGUCGCACGGUACAGGGUGACAGUCCCGUACACGAAAAUGCACAGGUUGUGAACUCGAAGAGUAGGGCGGGACACGUGGUAUCCUGUCUGAAUAUGGGGGGACCAUCCUCCAAGGCUAAAUACUCCUGACUGACCGAUAGUGAACCAGUACCGUGAGGGAAAGGCGAAAAGAACCCCGGCGAGGGGAGUGAAAAAGAACCUGAAACCGUGUACGUACAAGCAGUGGGAGCACCUUCGGGUGUGACUGCGUACCUUUUGUAUAAUGGGUCAGCGACUUAUAUUCUGUAGCAAGGUUAACCGUAUAGGGGAGCCGAAGGGAAACCGAGUCUUAACUGGGCGUUAAGUUGCAGGGUAUAGACCCGAAACCCGGUGAUCUAGCCAUGGGCAGGUUGAAGGUUGGGUAACACUAACUGGAGGACCGAACCGACUAAUGUUGAAAAAUUAGCGGAUGACUUGUGGCUGGGGGUGAAAGGCCAAUCAAACCGGGAGAUAGCUGGUUCUCCCCGAAAGCUAUUUAGGUAGCGCCUCGUGAACUCAUCUUCGGGGGUAGAGCACUGUUUCGGCUAGGGGGCCAUCCCGGCUUACCAACCCGAUGCAAACUACGAAUACCGAAGAAUGUUAUCACGGGAGACACACGGCGGGUGCUAACGUCCGUCGUGAAGAGGGAAACAACCCAGACCGCCAGCUAAGGUCCCAAAGUCAUGGUUAAGUGGGAAACGAUGUGGGAAGGCACAGACAGCCAGGAUGUUGGCUUAGAAGCAGCCAUCAUUUAAAGAAAGCGUAAUAGCUCACUGGUCGAGUCGGCCUGCGCGGAAGAUGUAACGGGGCUAAACCAUGCACCGAAGCUGCGGCAGCGACACUAUGUGUUGUUGGGUAGGGGAGCGUUCUGUAAGCCGUUGAAGGUGUGCUGUGAGGCAUGCUGGAGGUAUCAGAAGUGCGAAUGCUGACAUAAGUAACGAUAAAGCGGGUGAAAAGCCCGCUCGCCGGAAGACCAAGGGUUCCUGUCCAACGUUAAUCGGGGCAGGGUGAGUCGACCCCUAAGGCGAGGCCGAAAGGCGUAGUCGAUGGGAAACAGGUUAAUAUUCCUGUACUUGGUGUUACUGCGAAGGGGGGACGGAGAAGGCUAUGUUAGCCGGGCGACGGUUGUCCCGGUUUAAGCAUGUAGGCGGAACGAUUAGGUAAAUCCGGUCGUUUUUAACGCUGAGGUGUGAUGACGAGGCACUACGGUGCUGAAGUAACAAAUGCCCUGCUUCCAGGAAAAGCCUCUAAGCAUCAGGUAACAUCAAAUCGUACCCCAAACCGACACAGGUGGUCAGGUAGAGAAUACCAAGGCGCUUGAGAGAACUCGGGUGAAGGAACUAGGCAAAAUGGUGCCGUAACUUCGGGAGAAGGCACGCUGAUAUGUAGGUGAAGCCCCUGCGGGUGGAGCUGAAAUCAGUCGAAGAUACCAGCUGGCUGCAACUGUUUAUUAAAAACACAGCACUGUGCAAACACGAAAGUGGACGUAUACGGUGUGACGCCUGCCCGGUGCCGGAAGGUUAAUUGAUGGGGUUAGCGGCAACGCGAAGCUCUUGAUCGAAGCCCCGGUAAACGGCGGCCGUAACUAUAACGGUCCUAAGGUAGCGAAAUUCCUUGUCGGGUAAGUUCCGACCUGCACGAAUGGCGUAAUGAUGGCCAGGCUGUCUCCACCCGAGACUCAGUGAAAUUGAACUCGCUGUGAAGAUGCAGUGUACCCGCGGCAAGACGGAAAGACCCCGUGAACCUUUACUAUAGCUUGACACUGAACACUGGUCCUUGAUGUGUAGGAUAGGUGGGAGGCUUUGAAGUGUGGACGCCAGUCUGCAUGGAGCCGUCCUUGAAAUACCACCCUUUAAUGGCUGGUGUUCUAACGUAGACCCGUAAUCCGGGUUGCGGACAGUGUCUGGUGGGUAGUUUGACUGGGGCGGUCUCCUCCCAAAGAGUAACGGAGGAGCACGAAGGUUAGCUAAUCCUGGUCGGACAUCAGGAGGUUAGUGCAAUGGCAUAAGCUAGCUUGACUGCGAGAGUGACGGCUCGAGCAGGUGCGAAAGCAGGUCAUAGUGAUCCGGUGGUUCUGAAUGGAAGGGCCAUCGCUCAACGGAUAAAAGGUACUCCGGGGAUAACAGGCUGAUACCGCCCAAGAGUUCAUAUCGACGGCGGUGUUUGGCACCUCGAUGUCGGCUCAUCACAUCCUGGGGCUGAAGUAGGUCCCAAGGGUAUGGCUGUUCGCCAUUUAAAGUGGUACGCGAGCUGGGUUUAGAACGUCGUGAGACAGUUCGGUCCCUAUCUGCCGUGGGCGCUGGAGAAUUGAGGGGGGCUGCUCCUAGUACGAGAGGACCGGAGUGGACGCAUCACUGGUGUUCGGGUUGUCAUGCCAAUGGCACUGCCCGGUAGCUAAAUGCGGAAAAGAUAAGUGCUGAAAGCAUCUAAGCACGAAACUUGCCCCGAGAUGAGUUCUCCCUGAGACUUUAAGUCUCCUGAAGGAACGUUGAAGACGACGACGUUGAUAGGUCGGGUGUGUAAGCGCAGCGAUGCGUUGAGCUAACCGAUACUAAUGAACCGUGAGGCUUAACCU